AUUAUUAUCUUAUUAUUUUAUCGAUUUGUGUCAUUUUUUACACCGGUUCAAGUUGAAACCGACAAAAUUUAUUAAUUUAUGGAGAUUAUUAAUUUAUCGAGUAUUAAUUUAUAGAGGUUCUACUGUAAACAAAAAAAAUUAAAAAAAAUGUAUUACAUUUUCACUCAAAUGCUAUUUUGAAAAAUAUUUAUUGGUAUUCUUAAAUCAGGUAAAAUAAAUGUAUGAAUUGAAAUAAUAAUUUUUCCUAGAUUUGUUUUGUUGGGUAAGAUUAGAAAGCAAUGUUCAAGUAGAAUGAUUCAAUGUGAACAAAUGAAACAGUGAUGAUUAUCAUCAAAGACAUGGAGCAGUAUUAGUAUGUAUACAAACCAAAAUAUGAUAUAGUAGUAUCUUAAUUGUUAACUGAUAAAAUAAUCUUAUACAAUAAAGUAGAGUUUAGUCUCUCCUCCUUCUUCCACAUCAUCAGAGAAGGAGGGGCAAUUGAGGACACGUGGCACCUCAAGAAAUCUACAAUUUUUAUUAACAUUUACGGGUCUUUUCGUGGGCCUGUUAUUUUUAAUAUUGAAUCUUAGUAUUUGGCCUACAUCGUCGUCUUCUUCCUACCCUAAUUUCGAGUUCCUCUGCAAAAAUGGCAUAGUAACGCUUAGGUUUAGCAUUAAGAGCUCGACAUUUACAUUCACAUUAACUCACACUAAUCGGAUGCAUCCACGACGUCUUAGUAAUUGCCCCACCACCCUCUGCUUCAGCUUCUUCAUAAUCAAACACCUCUAAAUAGCCACCUCCCUGUCGAUCGUUUUCACAGAUUCAUUACACCCUUCCUCUCCUCAUACUCUGACAAGCAUCCAGUAGUCAUGGCCGCUUCCCAGCUAUCGCUUUCCUAUUUGAAUCCCAGACGUUGUUCUCAGGUCGUUGUCAUCCGCCUUCUCUGCUUUUGGGAAGCUAGGAAUAUGAAGUAAGGUGGGACUACUCUUGGAUGAUAAGGCACAAGGAAAGCUAUGGACGAUGUUGGGAUCUGAUUCUUAAGCUCAGGAUGCAAUUCGUGUAGCCGUUGCAAGAAUCAGAAGCUUCAUAACCUAAGGACGAGAAAUCACGGUUACAUAACUUCAGAGUUGUCCAUGCUAGCGCUAAGGUAUGUAUGGCUUUGCUUCACUUUCUUUACUCAUAUUUAUCCUUAAGCUGAAGCUUACAAAAUACUAUCUACCAUUGAUAUCAGUAGAGAACUUUUCAGUGUAUGACAACAUAUGUGAUUGCAAGAAUUCAUGACGUUAAGCAACAUUGUGUUCUGAAUCUGUUUCUUAUGGUGUUGAUGUGGCCGUUUGAACUCCACGUGGAUCAUUGAUCUAAUUAAGCGAGGAGAUUUAAAUCUAUAUGGGGUUCAGUUUCCUUUUAUUUGUUAUGUUAGGUAUGCUCUUAGUUGAGAGUGUUGAGACUUUCAAACUGUUAGAUGGACGAAGGCAACAUUUGAUUGCAUUUAAGGCAAUUUGAUCAUAUAUUUCAAGAGGGAGGAUUACACUGAUAAAUAAAGAAGAGCAACAGAACCUCCCUUUAUCUUUCUGGCAGCUCCAUCACCAGGCAACAGAUAUUGUUUUCAGCAGUUCUAUAUGGUGUUGUAGUCGGAUUUUCCAAAUACUUUGGGUGAGUAGGGGUAUGAACAAGAGCAGAGUGAUCAGUGUCCACAACAUCUUCUUUUGCAUCUUUGUUAUACAUCUGAAAGACAUGCGAGUGCAUAUUAAAGCAGCAUCUUUGAUCUUUCAGAAACAAAAGUUAUCUUUUUGUACGUUGUUCUUUCCUGCAGAAUGAUGGAAGACUAAAGAGAGAGAGACAGAGAGAGCAAGAAACGUGACUGCAGAGAGCUUAAUCAAGUGUUGUGAUGCACACGUAAGCUAUCAUUGGCGGGUGAACUAUUUAUGCGACGGGCGUGAUUUGCCUCAGUUUUUGGAAGAUCAUCAUGGGAAUUUCCCCUGAGAAUGACUUAUUUGCAAGGUUCAAGACUCUAAGUCUGGUCAAACCUGAAAGAGAGGCUGGGAUGCUUCCCUUGAGUUCAUUGUUGGAAAUAUCAAGAACUUUGAGAUUCCUUAACUCCGAGAAAAUCGCUGGUAAUGGACCCGAGUUAGUAGUUAGGUGUAAGAUAGAGAUGAGUCAGGUUCUUGAGGAUGAUGAUGUAAGAAAAUGGCUUCUGUUUUUCUGUAACAAAUAAUUCUUUAGCUGGAGAAUUUUUGCAGGUUAAAAAUAUGUUAUAUAUUGUGAAAUUAGAUAGAUACUGGGGCAAGUUGCUUGUAAAAAAUAUUUGUUUUAUAGUCUGAGAAAAAACAAGAUGCAGCCAUUAACAAAUGAUGACUAUUUCUCUGCAUUUUAGUU